GGGCCCGCACAAGCGGUGGAGUAUGUGGUUUAAUUCGAUGCAACGCGAAGAACCUUACCAGGGUUUGACAUCCUGCGAAUCUCUUGGAAACGAGAGAGUGCCUCCGGGAACGCAGUGACAGGUGGUGCAUGGCUGUCGUCAGCUCGUGUCGUGAGAUGUUGGGUUAAGUCCCGCAACGAGCGCAACCCACGUCUUUAGUUGCCAGCAUUUAGUUGGGCACUCUAGAGAGACCGCCGGUGAUAAACCGGAGGAAGGUGUGGAUGACGUCAAGUCAUCAUGCCCCUUACAUCCUGGGCUACACACGUACUACAAUGCUACGGACAAAGAGCAGCAAGUUCGCGAGGACAAGCAAAUCUCAAAAAACCCUCUCAGUUCGGAUCGCAGUCUGCAACUCGACUGCGUGAAGUUGGAAUCGCUAGUAAUCG
rnacentral:rRNA from 1 species